GGACAAGCUCGAUCACCAGAGAGCAUCAGGCCCAAGCCAGAAACCACACAGGAUGGCGCCAGGCAGCUCAGAUGGUUUAAUCAUGACCACAUUCAUGAAUAUACCCUUGAAUUCUGCUGAAUCAUUUUCUUGAGCUUAGCCAGAAGGGCUGCAAGGAAGAACAGAGACCAGAAGGCCUACAGCAGCUAGCAAGGUUAACUUCAU